UACGGAGGAGGCUAGCGUUGUUCGGAAUUACUGGGCGUAAAGCGCGCGUAGGCGGACCUGCAAGUCGGGGGUGAAAGCCCGAGGCUCAACCUCGGAACUGCCUUCGAUACUGCGGGUCUCCGAGUCCGGGAGAGGUGAGUGGAAUUCCCAGUGUAGAGGUGAAAUUCGUAGAUAUUGGGAAGAACACCGGUGGCGAAGGCGGCUAUCUGGACUGUGGAUUGACGCUGGAGGCGCGAAAGCGUGGGGAGCAAACAGG
rnacentral:rRNA from 1 species